rnacentral:rRNA from 1 species
UACGUAGGGGGCAAGCGUUGUCCGGAUUUAUUGGGCGUAAAGAGCGUGUAGGCGGUCUGACAAGUCUGCUGUGAAAACUCGAGGCUCAACCUCGAGAUGUCGGCGGAAACUGUCUGGCUAGAGUCCGGAAGAGGAGAGUGGAAUUCCUGGUGUAGCGGUGAAAUGCGCAGAUAUCAGGAGGAACACCAAUGGCGAAAGCAGCUCUCUGGGACGGUACUGACGCUGAGACGCGAAAGCGUGGGGAGCGAACAGG